rnacentral:rRNA from 13 species
AACGUUAAUCGGGGCAGGGUGAGUCGACCCCUAAGGCGAGGGCGAAAGCCGUAGUCGAUGGGAAACAGGUUAAUAUUCCUGUACCACCACGUGAUGCGAUGGAGGGACGGAGUAGGCUAGGUGAUCAGGGCGUUGGUUGUCCCUGUUCAAGGAUGUAGGCAGAGAGCUUAGGAAAAUCCGGGCUCUUAAUGCUGAGAUCUGAUGUCGAGUUUCUACGGAAACGAAGUCAUUGAUGCCAUGCUUCCAAGAAAAGCUUCUAAGCUUCAGUCACGUGGGAUCGUACCCGAAACCGACACAGGUGGUCAGGUCGAGAAGACCAAAGCGCUUGAGAGAACUUGGGUGAAGGAACUAGGCAAAAUGGUACCGUAACUUCGGGAGAAGGUGCGCCGGUGACGGUGAUGGACCUUGCGUCUUAAGCUGUUGCCGGUCGAAGUAACCAGGCCGCUGCGACUGUUUAUUAAAAACACAGCACUCUGCAAACUCGUAAGAGGACGUAUAGGGUGUGACGCCUGCCCGGUGCCGGAAGGUUAAUUGAUGGGGUUAGCGUAUGCGAAGCUCUUGAUCGAAGCCCCGGUAAACGGCGGCCGUAACAAUAACGGUCCUAAGGUAGCGA